CUUGUGAGGCCAGAAGUUGAGGCCAUGUGCACCUCCUUUCAGGAAAAUGCUGCUGCAUUUAUGGGACACUAUUUGCACGAAGUCGGCAGAAGACAUCCUUACUUCUAUGGCCCAGAGCUCCUUUACUAUGCUGAGAAGUACAAUGCCAUCAUGACUGAGUGCUGUGCAGAAGCUGACAAAGCUGCCUGCUUGAC